CUGCCCAGCAGCCUCCUGGACCAAGGAGGGCUUCGUCUCCAGUGGCUGCUGGUGAGACAGAUGGAGGGUCCACUCCCAGGACCCGUCACUCUGUCAUUCCUGACUCCCUGGAUUAAACUUGGUGAUCUCAUGCUACCAACCAACUGACAAUGGGACAGACAACCACUCGCACCAUCCCCACGACCAAUUUUGCUGCUCACGUGCUGAUUGGCUCUUCCCAUUUUGUCUCUUGUUAUUUGAAAUCAAUGACUCAGUGCACUAGGUCAAGACUGAAGAAGUUCCCCUCGGAGGAACUACAACCACUUAUUCUUCAGCUUCAUAUUAUGAAGGCUGAGACUGAACCCUUGGUAUGGCUAGUUUUCCUACCUUAAUUCUCAUUUGUAGUUUCCCAGGCAGAGGCGAAUGAGGACAAAUCACGAUCUCAGCAUCAAAAUCCCCAUGCCUCUUGCUUUAAUUUCCAAGUCACAAAAAUCCAGGCACUUCUGGCUCCUCCCAGAAGGGCAGAGGAGGCGGGAGACCCACCUCCUCCUGGCAGCCCAGCCCGAGUGCACACUCCCCAGCACUUCACACCACUUAAAAGACUCUGCCCAAACUGCCAACAACGUGUUACAAACAGAGCGCUCCCCGAAAAUGGAUCAGAAACACUUUGUAAUGAGUGUAGGCGCUGCUUUCAAAAAGGCCAACAUCUAACAAAAUUCCUGGUCCUGAGUGAUCCACCCUCAAAUAGCCCAGCGCAGGCUGAGAAAACUUCCCCCAAAGCCUUCACAUUUGCAGAAGCAGCUCUCUAAGGCAAUCUACCCAAUGACAUAGAUGUCGGAAGAGCUGAACUGUAUUAACUGUUUACAUAUAUUACAUCCCUUCCCUGGAUACUCAGUUAUCUAAGGUCGCCAUAUUUUGGAAAGAAGCGCUAUCUAAGAUUUGGGAUGAUCUUCGGCCAACGAUUACUGGACAACUGGAUCCAAAUUCCACAAAUAACAGUGUUCCUUUACCUGUGUGGGUGUUGUCCCUAAUAGAACGCAGGUGCCAUGCAUUUUCUCUUUCAGGCCUUCCUUUCCACUAUUCCUUCAACUCCAGCAGAUGCCCUGGCUGCUCUACAUGCCCCCUCCAUUUGGGGCCACAGGCAGCACGGGGCCAGGCACAUAGGGACUCUUGGAAAGGGCUUGUGGAAGGGGUCCUCACUGCACGGAGAGGCUCUGUUUUGCACCCCCACUACCCCCAGGACAUAUCCUGGGUAGAUGCUCACUGUCCCAGACUGCAAACCCCAUUUCUUUAUCUGUCGAAACCAUUCAACUGGGAGUGCUGUGAGAGCUGUAACAAGUCCCAUUAAGCACAGCAUCUUCAAGCCCUGCACCAACCAGGCCAGCAAAAGCAGGUCUCAGUGAGAGUCUUCGGAAUGGGAAUCCUUGUGCUACCUCUGGCAGAGCCCCAGCCCAAGGUAUCCGUUUGGAUGUUUAAAGAAGGAAGCAAAUUAACAUCGUUCCCGGUGCUCACAAGAAAGCCGGCUGAUCGUAAAGGACAUCCAGGCAGGCCCGGGAAGAAGCCAGAGUAAAGUCGAGCACGCACUCCUGUGGUUUUCCACCUCUCUUGUAAAAAGUCAUUCAUGGGAAUCGGUGUCCCGAGACGAAAGGGAUACGAAUUAUUAAUUCGAAGAUGGGAAACCCCAAAGGAACCUCACCAUCUAGUGCAAUGCUGUCCUCCUCCAAGCAGAGCAGUCAGGUGGAUUGCACAGUGCAAGGCUGGCGGGACCACAGCCCAGACCUCCUGACCCUGUGCUCCUUACACCCCAGGCCAUCCCCCCGCCCCGCUGAUGUGGAGCUAUCCUUGUGUUGCUUUAACGAAAGGAAGUGCAUGUAGCUUAAAUGCUUAUGGCUGUCUGGAACAGUGCUGAGAAGGAUUCUGAGAGUGUGUCCAGGCCCAGUGGAGAAACAGUGUCUUGAUUUUGGAGUAAAAGCACCUUGAUUUGAUCACCACUGUGUACUGGUUCAUUUUCCAUGAGCAGCUAGUUCAAGUGGGUUUCAGCCAAGGAGUGGGCUUCAUGGGGCUCUUGAGAGGAUCCAUGAU
ensembl:lncRNA